GCAUUAAUGGGGUAGUGGUAACCUGGGUCGUUGCCAUCUUCGGAUUUCAUAAGCAGAAAUUCGACCCGCCGGGGGUUCGAUUCCCUCUUAAUGCA